rnacentral:sRNA from 1 species
CCCCAGCCCUGAUAGUAAUGGUUACCCCGCAGCAUGGGUUGGAGAGUGGGUGGGCCUGAGCGUGGGCGUAUGAAUGGAUAGCAGGAAAUAGC